rnacentral:rRNA from 1 species
CUUAGGUGGCAAGCGUUGUCCGGAUUAUUGGGCGUAAAGGGAGCGCAGGCGGUGUAUAAGUCUGAUGUGAAAGUCCACGGCUCAACCGUGGGAUUGCAUUGGAAACUGAUACACUUGAGGAUAGAAGAGGAUAGUGGAAUUCCAUGUGUAGUGGUGAAAUACGUAGAUAUAUGGAGGAACACCAGUGGCGAAGGCGGCUAUCUGGUCUAUCACUGACGCUGAGGCUCGAAAGCAUGGGAGCAAACAGGAUU